rnacentral:rRNA from 1 species
UACGUAGGGGGCAAGCGUUUGUCCGGAUUUAUUGGGCGUAAAGAGCGUGUAGGCGGUUAGGUAGGUCCGUUGUGAAAACUCGAGGCUCAACCUCGAGACGCCGAUGGAAACCAUCUGACUAGAGUCCGGAAGAGGAGAGUGGAAUUCCUGGUGUAGCGGUGAAAUGCGCAGAUAUCAGGAAGAACACCCGUGGCGAAGGCGGUUCUCUGGGACGGUACUGACGCUGAGACGCGAAAGCGUGGGGAGCGAACAGG